UGCAAUGGGCUCAGCUCAAUGGUGAA
rnacentral:piRNA from 1 species